rnacentral:rRNA from 1 species
UACGUAGGGUGCGAGCGUUAAUCGGAAUUACUGGGCGUAAAGCGUGCGCAGGCGGCUUUGCAAGACAGAGGUGAAAGCCCCGGGCUCAACCUGGGAAUUGCAUUUGAGACUGCGUAGCUAGGGUGCGGAAGAGGGAAGCGGAAUUUCCGGUGUAGCGGUGAAAUGCGUAGAUAUCGGAAGGAACACCAGUGGCGAAAGCGGCUUCCUGGUCCAGCACCGACGUUCAGGCACGAAAGCGUGGGGAGCAAACAGG